rnacentral:rRNA from 1 species
AUUGAACGCUGGCGGCAUGCCUUACACAUGCAAGUCGAACGGUAACAGGUCUUCGGAUGCUGACGAGUGGCGAACGGGUGAGUAAUACAUCGGAACGUGCCCGAGAGUGGGGGAUAACGAAGCGAAAGCUUUGCUAAUACCGCAUACGAUCUCAGGAUGAAAGCAGGGGACCGCAAGGCCUUGCGCUCACGGAGCGGCCGAUGGCAGAUUAGGUAGUUGGUGGGAUAAAAGCUUACCAAGCCGACGAUCUGUAGCUGGUCUGAGAGGACGCCCAGCCACACUGGGACGGAGACACGGACCAGACUCCUACGGGAGGCAGCAGUGGGGAAUUUUGGACAAUGGGCGCAAGCGUGAUCCAGCCAUGCCGCGUGCAGGAUGAAGGCCUUCGGGUUGUAAACUGCUUUUGUACGGAACGAAAAGACUCUGGUUAAUACCUGGGGUCCAUGACGGUACCGUAAGAAUAAGCACCGGCUAACUACGUGCCAGCAGCCGCCGUAA